rnacentral:rRNA from 1 species
UGACGGUACCGGGUGAGGAAGCACCGGCUAACUCCGUGCCAGCAGCCGCGGUAAUACGGAGGGUGCGAGCGUUGUCCGGAAUUACUGGGCGUAAAGAGUUCGUAGGCGGUUUGUCGCGUCGUUUGUGAAAACCAGCAGCUCAACUGCUGGCUUGCAGGCGAUACGGGCAGACUUGAGUACUGCAGGGGAGACUGGAAUUCCUGGUGUAGCGGUGAAAUGCGCAGAUAUCAGGAGGAACACCGGUGGCGAAGGCGGGUCUCUGGGCAGUAACUGACGCUGAGGAACGAAAGCGUGGGCAGCGAACAGGAUUAGAUACCCUGGUAGUCCACGCCGUAAACGGUGGGGCGCUAGGUGUGGGUUCCUUCCACGGAAUCCGUGCCGUAGCUA